CACACUGUGCAUGCCUGUUGGUGCGAAUCUCGCAACUGCAGGUAUAGCUCAGCUAACCCUUGUCUAUUUCUACCAUUUGUGAAUCCCUCGGCAGGGACGCCUGCCGCCGGGACCCCUAAACUCAUUGAAUGCAAGCAUUAAAACAUUCUGAAUCAAAACAAAAUUAUCA
rnacentral:misc_RNA from 1 species